AUACUUAGCUGGCAGGGGGAGAUUCCAUGAUCAUGAAGGUGGUGUUCCCAGAGUAAGGCUUAUCCAUCGUACUCCGAUGUGCUGACUGACCCCUGUGGUUUCCCCAAAUGUGGGAAACUCGACUGCAUAACUUGUGGUAGUGCAGGACUUCGUUCAUGCUCUCCUGUU